rnacentral:misc_RNA from 1 species
UCUCCGUAGGUGAACCUGCGGAGGGAUCAUUACAGAGUUCAUGCCCUCCGGGUAGAUCUCCCACCCAUUGCUAUCACUACUCUCGUUGCUUUGGCGGGCCGCUGGGCCCUGCCCGGCCGCCGGCCCCGGCUGGCGCGCGCCCGCCAGAGACCUCACAGACUCUGAAUGUUAGUGUCGUCCGAGUAACUAUAUAAUCGUUAAAAUUUUCAACAACGGAUCUCUUGGUUCUG